UACGUAAGUGGCAAGCGUUGUCCGGAUUUACUGGGCGUAAAGAGCGCGCAGGCGGUCGGAUAAGUCGAAUGUGAAAGCCCCCGGCUCAACUGGGGAGGGUCAUUCGAUACUGUUCGACUCGAAGGCAGGAGAGGGAAGUGGAAUUCCCGGUGUAGUGGUGAAAUGCGUAGAUAUCGGGAGGAACACCAGUGGCGAAGGCGACUUCCUGGCCUGUUCUUGACGCUGAGGCGCGAAAGCUAGGGGAGCAAACGGG
rnacentral:rRNA from 1 species